UACGGGGGGGAGCAAGCGUUGUUCGGAUUUACUGGGCGUAAAGGGCGCGUAGGCGGCCACUGCAAGUCGGUUGUGAAAUCUCCGGGCUUAACCCGGAAAGGUCAAUCGAUACUGCAGGGCUAGAGUGCGGAAGGGGCAACUGGAAUUCUCGGUGUAGCGGUGAAAUGCGUAGAUAUCGAGAGGAACACCUGCGGCGAAGGCGGGUUGCUGGGCCGACACUGACGCUGACAGCGCGAAAGCUAGGGGAGCGAACAGG
rnacentral:rRNA from 1 species